GCACACCCACUCUGUGCCCCCCCUCCAUGGGGUGUGGUACUUUUACGGUGUGCCAGACUAACCCUCACCGGGGGGCAGCACCAUAGCUACUGGCGCACCCACAGUGGGGCGCUGGU